UAAACGUUCCUUUACUCAUCCACCAGAUUUCAAUGAGAGUAUUAGGUCGCUUCAGAUUCCAACCUUGGUUCCUCAACAAAUCAGUUAUUUCUCUUUUCCAAUACUCUCUUCAAUGUUUUCGGAUGCAUCUACUUCUUCUUUCUUUCUCUUCUUCCUCACACUCUCUUCUUCCUCUUACUUCCUAAUUUCACUGUUCCCUUCCAAACCAAAGUGUAUAUUUUUCACUAAGAGAGAAGAAGAUGUGAAUUUUUCAUUAUUCCCUCCCAAAUCGAUUUUGAAGUGAUUGUUCCAUAGAGAAAAGAAAGUGUUCGCUCCAAAUCUGAUUCUUGAUUGGGUAACUCUAACUCUUUCUGCCUCAUUCCAAAUCCAACCCUAAAGAUUUAUGCUUCAUCCCAUGUCUAUCCCUAAGGAUUAAUUUGUUAGCUGGGUGGUGGCAGCGAUGAUAACAACAAUAAUGUUGAAAGCAAUAACAAGGUUGUUGUUUCCAAUGAAGGUCCGAGCAAGCCUAAGAGACAAAUGAAGACGUCGUUUCAGCUUGAAACCCUUGAGAAAGCAUAUGCAUUGGAUAAUUACCCUUCAGAGUCUGUGAGGGUUGAGUUGUUUGAGAAAUUGGGGUUGAUGGAUCGACAGCCGCAGAUGUGGUUCUGCUGCAGGAGGUUGAAGGAUAAGAUGGAGGCGUCGGCUCCAAAGAAAGAAUCUGUUGCUUCUCCAAAGAAGGGGCCAGUGUCAUGUAAGCCAGCGGGGUUUGGCUCAGGUUCGAGUCCGUCUACAUGGUUGGAGCCUCUGAAUGCAAUCUCGGUCAGUGUUGGUUACUAUGAGUCCCCAUAGGCUGAAAUAGAGCUUAGAGCAAUUGCUUGUGUGGAGGAUCAGUUAGGUGAACCAUUGAGGGAAGAUGGGCCCAUUCUAGGAAUAGAGUUCGAUCAAUUGCCACCAGAUGCAUUUGGAGCACCUAUAGGUAUAAAUGAUAAUGCCUCUUAUCUUUAAUGAUUGUGUUACUGAAUAUUGCAGUUUUUUGACUCCAUUUGUUAUCGAAGGAAAUUGCUUGAAAGUUGAAACAAUAGUAUAAUGGUAUAAGUUUGUGAUCUAUGCAUACUACACCAUGUUUUUCUACUAACAAUAGUAGAAAAGCCUCUCAUGGAAAUUUGGUGCUCCAAUAUAAAUUACCCUUUUCUAAUGAAGAACAAGAGGUGAGAAGAAUGUCUGACUGGUCAGAUUUGGCUUCGAGUGUUACAUCUGCGGAUGAUAUCCAGGUGUUGCUCGGAUGAUACAUACAUUAAAAGUAUUUGACCUGCUGGUUUGCCAAUGCAAAUCAAUGCUUUACCUAAAGAAGCUUCACGUUAUUGACAAUUCUAUAUUGAAAUAGGAGCAAGUUAUUUUUCAGCAGUUAUAAUUUUUUUCUAUUUCAAUCAAUCAUUUGUGUUCAAUGCAUUAAUCCCUUAAUUGUUCAAAAUAUCAUCAAACGAUUUUUCAGGACUAUCAUUUCAUCAAAUGAACAUUUCCAGAUGUUGUUCUUGCCAUCCGGAACACUUGCAGAAGAAAGAACUAGAAGGAGGAAUUUGCCUGCCAGUGUUGUUGCGGUGAUGGAUGAAGUGUUCCUUAACUAUAAGUGCGAUUGAAUUGAAGCUGCGAUGUGCUGUUUUCGCAGUUGAUGUGAAUAUAUGUGGAUUGAAUUGAAGCUGCACUGUGCUAUUUUUAGAAGUGAUUGAAUUUAAUUGAAUAUACGUGUCAUUUUGUCACAAUCAUCUUUCAAACUGUAAAGUGGAAAGAUCUAUUGUACCCUAUAUAUUAUUACUAAUGGAACCUAAGUCUUUAAAUACCAAGCUAAACCAAACGACAGAUAUGUGAAUUAUGAUGAAGAUAUUAGGAAAUACUUUCAAGUUAAUAAGAUAUAACAUAUAUGUGUAUAGAUUUUGUAAAGUGUGUUUCAACGCUUGAAGGCUUUAAAUUAUGCAUCAAAUUCUAGAGAUACACUUGGAGUUAUGUAGAUUUAGCUGACUGUUAUAUAAUUCUAGGUGUUAUCUCCUGACAUGAGCUUAGCUACUCUACAACAAGAAUAUCUUCACAACAACUUGGUUGAAUUGUAUAAGCAUGUCGAUCCAUGUGUUUACAUGUUGAUGAUGGAACUUUUCCGAGAAGGAGUUUGUUGAUCUUCUUCCUCUCAGUUGAGACUCAUGUUUUAAGUUGUUUCAGGAAGUUCAAGAAUUUGAUUCAAAUGUAACAUUUGCUGGUAUGCAACUUACUUUCUUGAUGAAAAGUUAAAUUCAUUUAGACUGAUUGGGAAAUAUGUAAUGCCGAGGAUGAGAAGGGAAUUAUCCUCCGCCGUUAGGUGAUUAAGAUUCAUGCAAAAGAAAUGAGGGAUUGUGGCUGGAAACUAUAACUGUUCAAACUUUAGUUUGUAGUAAAAAAAAUUAAGAUAUGUCCUCCUAACUAUAUUUCACCAAUAGGAGAAACUUUUCACACCUCUUGAAUUAACUUUGGAUGUAGUGCACAUUUAAA